rnacentral:rRNA from 1 species
AUCGAACGCUGCCGGCAGGCCUAACACAUGCAAGUCGCGCGGACCGUCGGACGGGUGAGUAACUCCUUGGUAUCUGCCUGGUUGUGGGGGAUAACGUCCGGAUACGGGCGCUAAUACCACAUACUAUCAGAUGAGCCUAUGUCGGAUUAGCUAGUUGGUGGAGUAAAGGCCUACCAAGUUGACGCUCCGUAACUGGUCUGAGAGGAUGAUCAGUCACACUGGAACUGAGACACGGUCCAGACUCCUACGGGAGGCAGCAGUGGGGAAUAUUGGGCAAUGGGCGAAAGCCUGAUCCAGCCAUGCCGCGUGUGUGAAGAAGGUCUUCGGAUUGUAAAGCACUUUAGGUUGGGAGGCGUUACCUACAGAAUAAGCACCGGCUAACUGCGUGCCAGCAGCCGCGGUAAUAC